rnacentral:rRNA from 1 species
GUGAGGAAUAUUGCGCAAUGGAGGCAACUCUGACGCAGCCAUGCCGCGUGCAGGAAGAAGGCGCUACGCGUUGUAAACUGCUUUUAACCGGGAAGAAACCCCAGGACGUGUCCUGGGUUGACGGUACCGGAGGAAUAAGCACCGGCUAACUUCGUGCCAGCAGCCGCGGUAAUACGAAGGGUGCAAGCGUUAUCCGGAUUCAUUGGGUUUAAAGGGUGCGUAGGCGGAGCGUUAAGUCAGUGGUGAAAUCCUGCAGCUUAACUGUAGACUUGCCAUUGAUACUGGCGCUCUUGAGUGCGCUUGAAGUGGGCGGAAUGUGCCGUGUAGCGGUGAGAUGCUUAGAUAUGGCACAGAACACCAAUUGCGAAGGCAGCUCACUAAGGCGAUACUGACGCUGAGGCACGAAAGCGUGGGGAUCGAACAGGAUUAGAUACCCGAGUAGUCC